rnacentral:rRNA from 1 species
UUAAGCGACUAAGCGUACACGGUGGAUGCCCUGGCAGUCAGAGGCGAUGAAGGACGUGCUAAUCUGCGAUAAGCGUCGGUAAGGUGAUAUGAACCGUUAUAACCGGCGAUUUCCGAAUGGGGAAACCCAGUGUGUUUCGACACACUAUCAUUAACUGAAUCCAUAGGUUAAUGAGGCGAACCGGGGGAACUGAAACAUCUAAGUACCCCGAGGAAAAGAAAUCAACCGAGAUUCCCCCAGUAGCGGCGAGCGAACGGGGAGCAGCCCAGAGCCUGAAUCAGUGUGUGUGUUAGUGGAAGCGUCUGGAAAGGCGCGCGAUACAGGGUGACAGCCCCGUACACAAAAAUGCACAUGCUGUGAGCUCGAUGAGUAGGGCGGGACACGUGGUAUCCUGUCUGAAUAUGGGGGGACCAUCCUCCAAGGCUAAAUACUCCUGACUGACCGAUAGUGAACCAGUACCGUGAGGGAAAGGCGAAAAGAACCCCGGCGAGGGGAGUGAAAAAGAACCUGAAACCGUGUACGUACAAGCAGUGGGAGCACAGAGCAAUCUGUGUGACUGCGUACCUUUUGUAUAAUGGGUCAGCGACUUAUAUUCUGUAGCAAGGUUAACCGAAUAGGGGAGCCGAAGGGAAACCGAGUCUUAACUGGGCGUUAAGUUGCAGGGUAUAGACCCGAAACCCGGUGAUCUAGCCAUGGGCAGGUUGAAGGUUGGGUAACACUAACUGGAGGACCGAACCGACUAAUGUUGAAAAAUUAGCGGAUGACUUGUGGCUGGGGGUGAAAGGCCAAUCAAACCGGGAGAUAGCUGGUUCUCCCCGAAAGCUAUUUAGGUAGCGCCUCGUGAAUUCAUCUCCGGGGGUAGAGCACUGUUUCGGCAAGGGGGUCAUCCCGACUUACCAACCCGAUGCAAACUACGAAUACCGGAGAAUGUUAUCACGGGAGACACACGGCGGGUGCUAACGUCCGUCGUGAAGAGGGAAACAACCCAGACCGCCAGCUAAGGUCCCAAAGUCAUGGUUAAGUGGGAAACGAUGUGGGAAGGCCCAGACAGCCAGGAUGUUGGCUUAGAAGCAGCCAUCAUUUAAAGAAAGCGUAAUAGCUCACUGGUCGAGUCGGCCUGCGCGGAAGAUGUAACGGGGCUAAACCAUGCACCGAAGCUGCGGCAGCGACGCUUAUGCGUUGUUGGGUAGGGGAGCGUUCUGUAAGCCUGUGAAGGUGUGCUGUGAGGCAUGCUGGAGGUAUCAGAAGUGCGAAUGCUGACAUAAGUAACGAUAAAGCGGGUGAAAAGCCCGCUCGCCGGAAGACCAAGGGUUCCUGUCCAACGUUAAUCGGGGCAGGGUGAGUCGACCCCUAAGGCGAGGCCGAAAGGCGUAGUCGAUGGGAAACAGGUUAAUAUUCCUGUACUUGGUGUUACUGCGAAGGGGGGACGGAGAAGGCUAUGUUGGCCGGGCGACGGUUGUCCCGGUUUAAGCGUGUAGGCUGGUUUUCCAGGCAAAUCCGGAAAAUCAAGGCUGAGGCGUGAUGACGAGGCACUACGGUGCUGAAGCAACAAAUGCCCUGCUUCCAGGAAAAGCCUCUAAGCAUCAGGUAACAUCAAAUCGUACCCCAAACCGACACAGGUGGUCAGGUAGAGAAUACCAAGGCGCUUGAGAGAACUCGGGUGAAGGAACUAGGCAAAAUGGUGCCGUAACUUCGGGAGAAGGCACGCUGAUAUGUAGGUGAAGUCCCUCGCGGAUGGAGCUGAAAUCAGUCGAAGAUACCAGCUGGCUGCAACUGUUUAUUAAAAACACAGCACUGUGCAAACACGAAAGUGGACGUAUACGGUGUGACGCCUGCCCGGUGCCGGAAGGUUAAUUGAUGGGGUUAGCGCAAGCGAAGCUCUUGAUCGAAGCCCCGGUAAACGGCGGCCGUAACUAUAACGGUCCUAAGGUAGCGAAAUUCCUUGUCGGGUAAGUUCCGACCUGCACGAAUGGCGUAAUGAUGGCCAGGCUGUCUCCACCCGAGACUCAGUGAAAUUGAACUCGCUGUGAAGAUGCAGUGUACCCGCGGCAAGACGGAAAGACCCCGUGAACCUUUACUAUAGCUUGACACUGAACAUUGAGCCUUGAUGUGUAGGAUAGGUGGGAGGCUUUGAAGUGUGGACGCCAGUCUGCAUGGAGCCGACCUUGAAAUACCACCCUUUAAUGUUUGAUGUUCUAACGUUGACCCGUGAUCCGGGUUGCGGACAGUGUCUGGUGGGUAGUUUGACUGGGGCGGUCUCCUCCUAAAGAGUAACGGAGGAGCACGAAGGUUGGCUAAUCCUGGUCGGACAUCAGGAGGUUAGUGCAAUGGCAUAAGCCAGCUUGACUGCGAGCGUGACGGCGCGAGCAGGUGCGAAAGCAGGUCAUAGUGAUCCGGUGGUUCUGAAUGGAAGGGCCAUCGCUCAACGGAUAAAAGGUACUCCGGGGAUAACAGGCUGAUACCGCCCAAGAGUUCAUAUCGACGGCGGUGUUUGGCACCUCGAUGUCGGCUCAUCACAUCCUGGGGCUGAAGUAGGUCCCAAGGGUAUGGCUGUUCGCCAUUUAAAGUGGUACGCGAGCUGGGUUUAGAACGUCGUGAGACAGUUCGGUCCCUAUCUGCCGUGGGCGCUGGAGAAUUGAGGGGGGCUGCUCCUAGUACGAGAGGACCGGAGUGGACGCAUCACUGGUGUUCGGGUUGUCAUGCCAAUGGCACUGCCCGGUAGCUAAAUGCGGAAGAGAUAAGUGCUGAAAGCAUCUAAGCACGAAACUUGCCCCGAGAUGAGUUCUCCCUGACUCCUUGAGAGUCCUGAAGGAACGUUGAAGACGACGACGUUGAUAGGCCGGGUGUGUAAGCGCAGCGAUGCGUUGAGCUAACCGGUACUAAUGAACCGUGAGGCUUAACCU